GAUGAACGCUGGCGGCGUGCCUAAUACAUGCAAGUCGAGCGAACGGACGCGAAGCUUGCUUCUCUGAUGUUAGCGGCGGACGGGUGAGUAACACGUGGAUAACCUACCUAUAAGACUGGGAUAACUUCGGGAAACCGGAGCUAAUACCGGAUGAUAUUUUGAACCGCAUGGUUCAAAAGUGAAAGACGGUCUUGCUGUCACUUAUAGAUGGAUCCGCGCUGCAUUAGCUAGUUGGUAAGGUAACGGCUUACCAAGGCAACGAUGCGUAGCCGACCUGAGAGGGUGAUCGGCCACACUGGAACUGAGACACGGUCCAGACUCCUACGGGAGGCAGCAGUAGGGAAUCUUCCGCAAUGGGCGAAAGCCUGACGGAGCAACGCCGCGUGAGUGAUGAAGGUCUUCGGAUCGUAAAACUCUGUUAUUAGGGAAGAACAUAUGUGGAAGUAACUGUGCACAUCUUGACGGUACCUAAUCAGAAAGCCACGGCUAACUACGUG
rnacentral:rRNA from 1 species